CUGCUGUCCUGUCGAGGGCGCUUGGCGAGCCGUUCCAUCUCUGAGCCUCAGUUUGCUCUGCUGUGAAAUGGACGCAGCCACGGUAGAGGUCGCCAGUCUUUCCAUCUGCAGGCCAGGAUCGCAGAUCCCUGUCCAGUCCACUGUGAGGCCAACGAUAAUGACAGCUCCUGGACACAGCACGUUUGCAUAGUGCUUGACGCAGCUUCACUCCUGUCAUCCUCACCGCUUUGUGCAAUUAACGGCACCAUCGGACCCAUGAAGAAAAUGAGGCACAGAGAGGUCUUUCAAAAACAGACUCCGAGAUAAGGAAGCGGCAAGCUU
rnacentral:lncRNA from 1 species